AUUUAGCUGCUUUUUUUUUGCUUUGUUUUUGUUGUGCUUUUUUGUUUAGUUUCAGCUGACAAACCAGACAGUGUUUACUGUUUCUUCAGUAGAUGAAUAUGGAUAACUGUUCAUUGCUUUUUAAAUAUGAAGAUAUGUUCUAAUAUCUGACCAGUGGAAAUAAAUAAUCAAUUUGAGAAUGUUUUUUAAAAAGCAGUGCUAAUAUUUGAAAGAUUUUAUACAUAGUGCAUUCUGAGAAAUUUUGUUUCAGUGUUGUAUUGUUUCUUAAGUAGGUAAAGAUGGAUAACUGCUUAAUGCUUUGGAAAUAUAGUUUAGAAUUGAUAUGAUUUUAAUUUCUGACCGAUACCGAUAUUAUUUAGCGUCAAAUCGGUUAAAAAUCAGUGCUAGUAUUUUAUAGAUUGUGCAUCCUCUGUUUAUAUGUUGUCAUUUAUGCUCUCAUGUGUGUGUUCUCUGUGUAUUUCCUCUCUUUAACAUUCAUCCGUCCAUCCGUUCAGUGUGUGACUCCAUGAUAACCCUCUCCUCAUCUCUGUGUCUCUCUUCAGCCGGCGGCUUUUAUAAUUCUCUCUGAAGGACGGAUCUUCAGGUCUAGUCGAGCAUCGUGGGAGAGUUACAGAGGAAACAUCACGCUGCCGAAGCUCCCGGAGUCUAACAUGGCUCUGAGCGUGUUAGGCGUGUUUCUGGGAUUGCUUCUGGAAGUUUCCACACAUGGACCCUCCAGCGUGCCCAGAAGCUCUUGGAGGCACGACGGUGAGUGAAGGGUUAAAGUUUUUCUCGUCAAAAAAUGUAAUGGGUGUGAAGCAUCUGCAGGUGCCACGUGUUUGCUGAUGCUAUGUGUGAUAAAAAAGACAGACGUCUGACUUUCUGUGCUAAUAAAACAUGCUUCUAAAUAUAUUUUAACA
ensembl:lncRNA